rnacentral:rRNA from 1 species
UACGGGGGGAGCAAGCGUUGUUCGGAUUUAGUGGGCGUAAAGGGCGCGUAGGCGGUCGUGACAAGUCACUUGUGAAAUCUCCGGGCUUAACUCGGAACGGUCAAGUGAUACUGUCGGACUAGAGUACAGAAGGGGCAACUGGAAUUCUCGGUGUAGCGGUGAAAUGCGUAGAUAUCGAGAGGAACACCUGCGGCGAAGGCGGGUUGCUGGGCUGAUACUGACGCUGAGGCGCGAAAGCCAGGGGAGCGAACGGG